rnacentral:rRNA from 1 species
CCUACGGGUGGCAGCAGUCGAGAAUCAUUCACAAUGGGGGAAACCCUGAUGGUGCGACGCCGCGUGGGGGAAUGAAGGUCUUCGGAUUGUAAACCCCUGUCAUGUGGGAGCAAAUUAAAAAGAUAGUACCACAAGAGGAAGAGACGGCUAACUCUGUGCCAGCAGCCGCGGUAAUACAGAGGUCUCAAGCGUUGUUCGGAAUCACUGGGCGUAAAGCGUGCGUAGGCUGUUUCGUAAGUCGUGUGUGAAAGGCGCGGGCUCAACCCGCGGACGGCACAUGAUACUGCGGGACUAGAGUAAGGGAGGGGGAACCGGAAUUCUCGGUGUAGCAGUGAAAUGCGUAGAUAUCGAGAGGAACACUCGUGGCGAAGGCGGGUUCCUGGACAUUAACGGACGCUGAGGCACGAAGGCCAGGGGAGCGAAAGGGAUUAGAUACCCCAGUAGUC